CAUCCCUGUGGAAUCUGGUUCAUCUCCAAUCUGUCAGAAAGCAUCAGAGGUGGUUUUGAGUCCUUAUGUCCUGAGCCUGUGGACAAAAUGUACCUUGUGUGGAGGAAAAUGAGAUCCCGAGUGAAGUCUACAAUGUCAUUGACUCUGAAGAAGGACUCAGAGACCCAUUGGUGUUUAAUGACCCUUACUGGCCUAUGCAAUGGGAACUGGUCAGAGAGGCAAGAAUUACCAGAGAUCAGACUGGCACAUCCCUAAAACUUAUAUGGAAACUUGAAUGAUGUCAGCUUCUAAAGGACACUGUAUGAAGGACUGGAUUGCCAGUGGCUCAAUUUUCCUACAUAAUUCAGAGUUGUGGCUUGGGCAAUGCCAAGAACCACAUCUGCACUGAAAUCAAUUAUCUGUUGGUUGCUUUCACACUGACUUCGGCUUGACUCAGGAGUAGUCUUGGUGGAUUCUUGGAUGUGCUACUGGGGAGGCUACCGAUGUGCAGAACAAGCUCCCAAUCAGCCACGUGACCGCAAAGAUGACUUCCACUAACAUAGAUGGAGGAUGUGUAGCUCAUUUCAGUGGGACAUCCAGAGUCCUGUCUACAGUGGUUGGAGUUCUGGCUUAAAUUCAAGCAGCUGAAAACACAAGAAAUAAGAAGACCGUUUGAGAAGAGCAGAUAGUUGCCUUAAGAAAAUUCCUGUCAUAUGCACUCUGGGAUUUGGACUCAAAUCCUAAUUAUACAGUAAGUGAAAUGAACACAGACUUUACAUUAACCUAAUGUAAAGCUGCAGAACUGUGAUACCUGUUCAAUUUGGUUAAAGGAAUUGAAGGUGGUGGCUUUUUUUUUUUUUUUUUUUUUUUUUUGGCAGAAAGGGUUAUUUGUGACAGUUGACAAAGUAGAUAUUUUUGGUUGUCUAAAGAGAAUAUUAUUUUUCUCCCUAUUCCUUACACCUUUUUAAAAAGCCAAACAGGGAGUUCCUGUGGUGGUACAAUGGUGAUGAACCCAUCUAGUAUCCAUGAGGAUACAGGUUCGAUCCUUGGCCUUGCUCAAUGAAUAAGGGAUCCAGCAUUGUCAUGAGCUGUGGUGUAAGUCACAGAUGCAGCUCGGAUCUGACAUUGCUGUGGCUGUGGUAUAAACUGGCAGCUACGGCUCCAAUUCAGCCCCUAGCUUGGGAAUUUCCAUAUGCCUAGGCUGUGGCCCUAAAAUGACAAAAAAAAAUAAAAAUAAAAAGGAAUAUUUUUAUUAUCUAACUUUUAAAUCAAAAACAUUUCCUUUUCCAAAUUAUAUUCAUUAUAAUUUUGAUAUAUAGUACAAAUUAAUACUUCUUGAAUUUCAACAUGUAUAAGUAGAACGUCUAUUGAAUUAUUUUUGUCAUAUUAAUUUUUGAUCAAGGGGUAAUUUUUUUUUUAUCAAAGAAUACACCAACAAAUCAAAGCUAGUCAACAAAGAGCAUGGCCUCAGUUCACAAAAGUGGGACAUAUAAAGUAAUGUUGAGGGAAUAUUCAACUAUUUGUAAAUCUAUUUUUAAAAGUUAAGACAGGAGUUCCCAUUGUGGCUCAGUGGUUAAUGAACCCUACUAGUAUCCCUGAGGAUGCCUGACCUUGCUCAGUGGGUUAAGGAUCUGGCAUUGCUGUGAGCUGUAGUCUAGGUCACAGUUGGGGCUAGGAUCCCACAAUGCUGUGGCUGUGGCAUAGGCUGUAGCUACAGCUCCAAUUUGCCCCCUAGUCUGGGAAUCUCCAUAUGCUGCAGAUGCAGUCCAAAUAAAUAAAUAAAUAAAUAAAUAAAAUAAAAGUUAAGGCAAUAUAGCAGAGUUAUUUUUCUACCAAGCAAAAUAUUAUCUAGCCAUUGGUUCCUCCAAACAAAUGGAAUGGAACAAUGACUCCAGAAUUUUUUUCCUGAAUGAAGUUUUCCCAUGGCUAGUGACUACAUAAGAAUAAGACCCAAGGGCACCACCUGGGACACACAGAUGGUUGUAAAUGCCCCCUACUCUCAAGAGUAUCAAAAUACCUGCAUAAGUAAACUUAAGGAUGCUUUCUGUUUGAAUCUCAAGUUCACAUCCUUCUAUCAAAUGGCUAUAGAGCAACCAUACACACUACAUUUGAUGGGUAAGAUUCUGGCAGGUUUUCCUUAACAUAUUCUUUGGCAGUCAUUUCUAUGGGCAAAUGUAGGAGAAGCAGUGACUGACAGGCAGUCUCUAAUAGCACUGGCAGAGCAUAAUGGAGCUACUCAGAAGCAUAGUUUUCAGUGCACUGAAUUGCAUUCAUUUGUUUACGUGGUGAUCUUUCUUUGGAGAUUUGUCCUCACAAGGGCAGGGCCUGUUUUAUAUUUGUCUUGAGAAAUCUCACACACCCCAAUACCUAGCACAAAACUGGACAUAUGAUAAGCACUCAGUAAGCAUUGCUUAGAUUAAGUAACCAAGGUAGAGUGUGUUCUUGUGUUCAAGAGAGAACUUACUAAAGUGUUCUAAAUAUGGGAGUUCCCAUUGUGGCUCAGGGGGUAAAGAACUCAACUAGUAUCCAUGAGGAUUCAGGUUCAACCCUUGCCCUUGCUCAGUGGGUUAAGGAUCUAGCCUGCUGCAAGCUACAGUGUAGGCUGCUGCAGAUGUGUCUCAGAUCCGGCAUGACUGUGGCUGUGGCUGCAGCUCUGAUUGGACCCCUAACCUGGAACUUCCAUAUGCUGCAGGUGU
rnacentral:lncRNA from 1 species